GUGUGUCGGGUCCCUCCCCGUGUGUGUCAGGUCCCUCCUCGUGUGUGUCAGGUCCCUCCUCGUGUGUGUCGGGUCCCUCCCGUCCCGUCCGUGUCGUGUUUUCCUGCGGUUCUUGUAAAUAUCGGUGGUUUCUGUUUGGAAAAAGCUCUUUGUGUGUUUUUGUUUUUUAAGAAAAGUGAAAUUGUUUAAAUCUUUUGAAUCUGAUGCUUUUUUUUUUUUUGUCAAAGUUUUUGUUUAACUGGAGAAGAUGAUGUGAUCCUUCAGCAGCUGCUCUCGAGACGCCCUGUCCAUCAUGUCCCGGUUCCUCUGGUCCCUCUGGUUCCUCUGGUUCCUCUGGUUCCUCAGGUUCCUCUGGUUCCUCAGGUUCCUCUGGUUCUGUUUGUGGUGUUUGUUGUGGAGCCGUGUAAAGGUCAGACUCAGGUCCAUCAUGUUCUUGUCCUGGUUUUAUCAUGAACUCAACGGUUUCUCUUGUUUCUCACUGAAUCAUGAAUCUGAAAAGUGGCUUCUGUUUUUACAAGACUGAGAUGUUUCCUCCCGCAUCAUGAACUGAGCCUGAGUUUUCUCUGCUCACGUGUUUGUUUCUCGAUCUUUGCUCGUGUGUAAAAAUAUCAAAUUAAAGUCUGAUGGGUUUUUUUUCUGUGUAAAACAGUAUGAGUUUGUUGGGAAGCGUUUGUCCAGAGAUGUUCCUCACCGACCUUCUGCACCACACUGGCCACGUUUACAUCAGGCUUUUUUAAAUUCUCAAUUAAAUGCUUCAGAAUAUUUCCGUGUUAAA